GCAUAAAUUGGCUUUAAAAACUUGCACUCGAAUAAAAUGUUAAGAAUUCGUCUCCUUUAGUUGAUCACAAAAUUACUGAUUUCAGGUAAAAAAUAUUGAGCUUCUUACUAUUUAUCACUUUUCGUACCAUGCAAAGUUUCAAUAUUGAGAAGAUUCCCCAGCUGUCCCUUCAUUUUCAAACUUGGUUACUGGCAUUACAUCAGUAAAUAUUCCCAUAAUAGUGACAAUAUCAUGUUUUACUUCCUGCUUGUAUUCUAACAAUUUUAUUAAUAAAUUAAACAGAUACCUUCCCA
rnacentral:lncRNA from 1 species